rnacentral:rRNA from 1 species
UACGGAGGUGGCAAGCGUUGUUCGGAAUUACUGGGCGUAAAGGGCGCGUAGGCGGCCUUCUAAGUCAGACGUGAAAUCCCCCGGCUUAACCUGGGAACUGCGUCUGAUACUGGAGGGCUUGAGUGCGGGAGAGGGAUGUGGAAUUCCAGGUGUAGCGGUGAAAUGCGUAGAUAUCUGGAGGAACACCGGUGGCGAAGGCGGCAUCCUGGACCGACACUGACGCUGAGGCGCGAAAGCUAGGGUAGCAAACGGG